GUUGACCUUACAGCAAAUCUUACAGUUCCUUCAUUCUAAGAAAACCCUCCGUCAACUG
rfam:Dictyostelium discoideum AX4 chromosome 4 chromosome, whole genome shotgun sequence